GACGAACGCUGGCGGCGUGCUUAACACAUGCAAGUCGAACGCUUAAGCUUGGUGCUUGCCCUGGGUGGCUGAGUGGCGAACGGGUGAGUAAUACGUGAGUAACCUGCCCUUGACUCUGGGAUAAGCCUGGGAAACUGGGUCUAAUACUGGAUAUGACAUGCCACUGCAUGGUGGUGUUUGGAAAGGGUUUUACUGGUUUUGGAUGGGCUCACGGCCUAUCAGCUUGUUGGUGGGGUAAUGGCCUACCAAGGCGACGACGGGUAGCCGGCCUGAGAGGGUGACCGGCCACACUGGGACUGAGACACGGCCCAGACUCCUACGGGAGGCAGCAGUGGGGAAUAUUGCACAAUGGGCGGAAGCCUGAUGCAGCGACGCCGCGUGAGGGAUGAAGGCCUUCGGGUUGUAAACCUCUUUCAGCACGGAAGAAGCGAGAGUGACGGUACGUGCAGAAGAAGCGCCGGCUAACUACGUG
rnacentral:rRNA from 1 species